CUACGGGUCGCAGCAGUGAGGAAUAUUGGUCAAUGGACGCAAGUCUGAACCAGCCAUGCCGCGUGCAGGAUGACGGCCCUAUGGGUUGUAAACUGCUUUUAUUAAGGAAUAAACCCCCUUACGUGUAAGGGGCUGAACGUACUUAAAGAAUAAGCAUCGGCUAACUCCGUGCCAGCAGCCGCGGUAAUACGGAGGAUGCAAGCGUUAUCCGGAUUUAUUGGGUUUAAAGGGUUCGCAGGCGGCGUAUUAAGUCAGUGGUGAAAUCCCUCGGCUCAACCGAGGAACUGCCAUUGAUACUGGUAUGCUAGAGUAUAGUUGGCGUAGGCGGAAUAUUUCAUGUAGCGGUGAAAUGCUUAGAUAUGAAAUAGAACACCGAUCGCGAAGGCAGCUUACGAAACUAUAACUGACGCUCAGGAACGAAAGCGUGGGGAGCGAACAGGAUUAGAUACCCCAGUAGUC
rnacentral:rRNA from 1 species